UGCCAGCCGCCGCGGUAAUACGGAGGGUGCAAGCGUUACUCGGAUUUACUGGGCGUAAAGCGCGCGUAGGCGGUUUGGCAAGUCUGAUGUGAAAGUCCUGGACUCAAUCCAGGAAGUGCAUUGGAAACUGUCAGACUAGAGUAUAGGAGGGGUAAGCGGAAUUCCAGGUGUGGAGGUGAAAUUCGUAGAUAUCUGGAGGAACAACGGAGGCGAAGGCGGCUUACUGGACUAUUACUGACGCUGAGGUGCGAAAGUGUGGGGAGCGAACGGGAUUAGAUA
rnacentral:rRNA from 1 species